UUCCUACGGGAGGCAGCAGUGGGGAAUAUUGGACAAUGGGGGCAACCCUGAUCCAGCAAUGCCGCGUGUGUGAAGAAGGCCUGCGGGUUGUAAAGCACUUUCAGUAGAGAAGAAAUGCCUGGGGUUAAUACCCCCGGGUCUUGACGUAACCUACAGAAGAAGCACCGGCUAACUCCGUGCCAGCAGCCGCGGUAAUACGGAGGGUGCGAGCGUUAAUCGGAAUUACUGGGCGUAAAGCGCGCGUAGGCGGUUUGAUCAGUCGGAUGUGAAAGCCCUGGGCUUAACCUGGGAAUUGCAUUCGAUACUGUCAGGCUAGAGUAUGGGAGAGGGAAGUGGAAUUUCCGGUGUAGCGGUGAAAUGCGUAGAUAUCGGAAGGAACACCAGUGGCGAAGGCGACUUCCUGGCCCAAUACUGACGCUGAGGUGCGAAAGCGUGGGUAGCGAACAGGAUUAGAUACCCUGGUAGUCCACGCCGUAAACGAUGAGAACUAGAUGUCGGGAGGAUUUACCUCUCGGUGUCGCAGCUAACGCGUUAAGUUCUCCGCCUGGGGAGUACGCCGGCAACGGUAAAACUCAAAUGAAUUGACGGAA
rnacentral:rRNA from 1 species